rnacentral:rRNA from 1 species
AUUGAACGCUGGCGGCAUGCUUUACACAUGCCAGUCGAACGGUAACAGGCCGCAAGGUGCUGACGAGUGGCGAACGGGUGAGUAAUGCAUCGGAACGUGCCCAGUCGUGGGGGAUAACUACUCGAAAGAGUAGCUAAUACCGCAUACGAUCUAUGGAUGAAAGCGGGGGACCGUAAGGCCUCGCGCGAUUGGAGCGGCCGAUGUCAGAUUAGGUAGUUGGUGGGGUAAAGGCUCACCAAGCCAACGAUCUGUAGCUGGUCUGAGAGGACGACCAGCCACACUGGGACUGAGACACGGCCCAGACUCCUACGGGAGGCAGCAGUGGGGAAUUUUGGACAAUGGGCGCAAGCCUGAUCCAGCAAUGCCGCGUGCAGGAAGAAGGCCUUCGGGUUGUAAACCGCUUUUGUACGGAACGAAACGGCUCUGGUUAAUACCCGGGGCUAAUGACGGUACCGUAAGAAUAAGCACCGGCUAACUACGUG